rnacentral:tRNA from 1 species
GGAGGGGUGGCCGAGAGGUUGAAGGCGGCGGUCUUGAAAACCGUUGAUCCAGAGAUGGUUCCGUGGGUUCGAAUCCCACCCCCUCCGCCA